rnacentral:rRNA from 1 species
GACGGGGGAUGCGAGCGUUAUCCGGAAUGAUUGGGCGUAAAGGGUCUGCAGGUGGCCCGGUCAGUCCGCUGUCAAAGCCUGGGGCUCAACCCUGGAGAGGCGGCGGAGACCACCGGGCUUGAGUCCGGUAGGGGCAGAGGGAAUUCCCGGUGGAGCGGGUGAAAUGCGUAGAGAUCGGGAAGAACACCAACGGCGAAAGCACUCUGCUGGGCCGACACUGACACUGAGAGACGAAAGCUAGGGGAGCGAAUGGG